AUACGGGGGGAGCAAGCGUUGUCCGGAAUCACUGGGCGUAAAGAGCGUGUAGGUGGAUUUGUAAGUCUGUGGUGAAAUGUCGGAGCUUAACUCCGAACCUGCCUUGGAUACUACAGGUCUUGAGUACGGAAGAGGGAAGCGGAAUUCCAGGUGUAGCGGUGGAAUGCGUAGAUAUCUGGAAGAACACCGGUGGCGAAGGCGGCUUCCUGGCCCGGUACUGACACUGAGACGCGAAAGCGUGGGUAGCAAACAGGAUUAGAUACCCUGGUAGUCCACGCCCUAAACGAUGCUCACUAGAUGGUGGAAGAUUCGACCCUUUCACUGUCGCAGCUAACGCAUUAAGUGAGCCGCCUGGGGAGUACGAUCGCAAGGUUGAA
rnacentral:rRNA from 1 species